GAUGAACGCUGGCGGCGUGCCUAAUACAUGCAAGUCGAGCGAACAGACGAGGAGCUUGCUCCUCUGACGUUAGCGGCGGACGGGUGAGUAACACGUGGAUAACCUACCUAUAAGACUGGGAUAACUUCGGGAAACCGGAGCUAAUACCGGAUAAUAUAUUGAACCGCAUGGUUCAAUAGUGAAAGACGGUUUUGCUGUCACUUAUAGAUGGAUCCGCGCCGCAUUAGCUAGUUGGUAAGGUAACGGCUUACCAAGGCAACGAUGCGUAGCCGACCUGAGAGGGUGAUCGGCCACACUGGAACUGAGACACGGUCCAGACUCCUAAGGGAGGCAGCAGUAGGGAAUCUUCCGCAAAGGGCGAAAGCCUGACGGAGCAACGCCGCGUGAGUGACGAAGGUCUUCGGAUCGUAAAACUCUGUUAUUAGGGAAGAACAAAUGUGUAAGUAACUAUGCACGUCUUGACGGUACCUAAUCAGAAAGCCACGGCUAACUACGUG
rnacentral:rRNA from 1 species